rnacentral:rRNA from 1 species
AAUAAGCGGAGGAAAAGAAACCAACAGGGAUUGCUCUAGUAACGGCGAGUGAAGCAGCAAUAGCUCAAAUUUGAAAUCUGGCGUCUUCGGCGUCCGAGUUGUAAUUUGUAGAGGAUGCUUCUGAGUAACCACCGACCUAAGUUCCUUGGAACAGGACGUCAUAGAGGGUGAGAAUCCCGUAUGCGGUCGGAAAGGUGCUCUAUACGUAGCUCCUUCGACGAGUCGAGUUGUUUGGGAAUGCAGCUCUAAAUGGGAGGUAAAUUUCUUCUAAAGCUAAAUAUUGGCCAGAGACCGAUAGCGCACAAGUAGAGUGAUCGAAAGAUGAAAAGCACUUUGGAAAGAGAGUUAAAAAGCACGUGAAAUUGUUAAAAGGGAAGGGAUUGCAACCAGACUUGCUCGCGGUGUUCCGCCGGUCUUCUGACCGGUCUACUCGCCGCGUUGCAGGCCAGCAUCGUCUGGUGCCGCUGGAUAAGACUUGAGGAAUGUAGCUCCCUCGGGAGUGUUAUAGCCUCUUGUGAUGCAGCGAGCGCCGGGCGAGGUCCGCGCUUCGGCUAGGAUGCUGGCGUAAUGGUCGUAAUCCGCCCGUCUUGAAACACGGACCAAGGAGUCUAACAUCUAUGCGAGUGUUCGGGUGUCAAACCCCUACGCGUAAUGAAAGUGAACGGAGGUGAGAACCGCAAGGUGCAUCAUCGACCGAUCCUGAUGUCUUCGGAUGGAUUUGAGUAAGAGCAUAGCUGUUGGGACCCGAAAGAUGGUGAACUAUGCCUGAAUAGGGUGAAGCCAGAGGAAACUCUGGUGGAGGCUCGCAGCGGUUCUGACGUGCAAAUCGAUCGUCAAAUUUGGGUAUAGGGGCGAAAGACUAAUCGAACCAUCUAGUAGCUGGUUCCUGCGAA